AGUCCUAUGUACUGGCCUUAGACAAAUUUUUUGGGGUGCACUUGAAAUAGAGUUAAAGUAUUUGAAUACGAGCAUAAUUCAGAAUGGAAGAAGAUACACAGGAAAUAUGAUCUUUGGCCUUGACUCCAACAUGGUCUUGCUACUGUUUUGACAAUUUUUGUUGCUGUUUCUCUGCCUGUGGAGUUCUCUAUCCAUCGAUUCAUGAACCCAAAAUUUAUCUAUAUGUGGACCAUAUCGUGUACGUUACCAUCUGGUCUUGUCCAUUUGUGAAAGGCAAAGUACAGAAGAAGAAGAAGAAGAAGAUGAUGAUGAUGAUGAGAAUGGGCAUCAUUUAUGAGCA